CGGUGUGUAGGGAGAGGAGGUCGUGGUUUAUGAAGUGGUUAUGUAGACUGUUCAAAGGACCCGGUGCAAACACCGGAGGCGGCCGUGCGACUGUUUUGACGGAUAAUAAUGAUAAUGGAAACAAGGUGAUGUGAUUUUUUUUGAGCAUCUUAAUUAUUAUCAAUUAAGUAUAUUGUUAUGCAUGAUUGAUUAGACUUACAGGGAGAUCAUCGGAGAUCUGGCAGGGAUAAUACAGAAGAUCUCGACCGUGCGAUUGCACUCUCCCUCGCCGAUGCUGCUAAGAACCCAAAUGGUAAAAAAUCAGAAAGCGACGAAGAAUUUGCAAAGGCAUUGCAGGAAAGUUUGAAGAUACCGGCACCACCCGCCGCAUACGAUCCACCCACGGCGGUCCCAUGUUUACCAAGAGGAUACAAGUUAAUUACGAUCUAAUUCUUCCUUCUGUUUACUGAAUUAUAAUGACGGCGGUGUUCUGAAGGAAUAUAGAUUGAUCGAUGCAGAUUUUGCGGAGGUUGCAAGCGAGAAAUUGGGCAUGGACAUUACCUGAGCUGCAUGGGAUCUUUCUGGCACCCUCAGUGUUUCCGAUGUCACUUCUGCGGCCGCCAAAUCCGUGAAACCGAGGUUCGAUAUAAAAUAAGCAAGUUUAAGUAAUAUUUCAUCAACUUACUCAAUCAACUGACGGCGAUCACCGACGCCGGUUCUGUUCUGCAGUUUUCUUUAUCCGGCAGCAAUCCGUAUCACAAGCUUUGCUACAAACAGCUGCAUCAUCCUAAAUGCGACGUUUGUCAUGAAUUUGUACGUACGCUCGCUCGCUCAAUCUUCUUCAGAAUUAAUAUCAUAAGAUCGACUCGAAUACCCGAUCGAUCUUCUCAAUUUGAACCUGAACAAUUAGGGUUUUUAUUUUGGAGGUUUUUGUUGUUGUUGUUAGAUACCGACGAAUAGAGUGGGAUUGAUCGAGUACCGUGCGCAUCCAUUUUGGGGACAGAAGUACUGCCCAUCACACGAACACGAUAGAACACCGCGUUGUUGCAGUUGCGAGCGAAUGGAGUCGAGGAGCACACGGUACAUCUCGCUUGGUGACGGUCGGUGUUUAUGCUUGGAAUGUUUGGAUUCCGCCGUCAUGGAUACCGGAGAUUGCCAACCGCUUUACCAUGCCAUCAGAGACUACUACGAAGGAAUGAACAUGAAGAUCGACCAACAGAUUCCGAUGCUUAUGGUCGAAAGACAGGCUCUCAAUGAAGCCAUGGAAGGAGAAAAAGACGUACACAUUUUUUUUUUAAAGUUUAUUUUAUUUUGAACGUUUUUUA
rnacentral:lncRNA from 1 species